rnacentral:rRNA from 1 species
AUUCCAGCUCCAAUAGCGUAUAUUAAAGUUGUUGCAGUUAAAAAGCUCGUAGUUGGAUUUCUGGUGGGAGCGUUGGGUCGGCCCUAAGGGCUCGUACUCAAAUGUUUUCCGCCAUCCUUGGAGGGAUGUUGUCUGGCAUUAAGUUGUCGGGCUUCCGAUCUCCAUCGUUUACUGUGAAAAAAUUAGAGUGUUCAAAGCAGGCUUACGCCGUUGAAUACAUUAGCAUGGAAUAAUAAGAUAGGACCCUGGUACUAUUUUGUUGGUUUGCGUACCUAGGUAAUGAUUAAUAGGGACAGUUGGGGGUAUUCGUAUUCCGUUGUCAGAGGUGAAAUUCUUGGAUUUACGGAAGACGAACUACUGCGAAAGCAUUUACCAAGGAUGUUUUCAUCA